AAUUAAAUUAAUAUAAAAUCCUAAAUUUUAAAUCCUAAAUCUUAAAUCAGAUCCUAAUCAAAUUCUAAAUUUUAAUAAAACCUUGAUGAAAUCCUAAAUCUUAAAUCAAUCCUGAAUCAAAUUCUAAUUGAAUCUAAAAUUCUAAAUAAAUUCUUAAUCGAUCCUACAAUAGAUUGAAAUCUCAAUAACUUAUAAUUUAAUAAUAGAUUUUGACUCAAAAUUUGCACACCUUUCAAUUAUUUAGUUGAAAACAAGCACAAAAAAUUUGAAGAAGAUUAAACUUACCAAAUAGAAGAUAAAUUCUACAAUACACUAUUGUAUUACAUGAAACAUUGCUUGAGAGUUUACUGGGCUCUUAGUUGUAGAAGGUAGAAUGGAAAUUUUAAUAAUAAAAUAUUCAUUCUAAUAGAAUAUUAAAUAAACUUUAAUUAAACCUUAAUAAUGCUAAAUAAGAUUUAAUCAAAUUCAAAAGAAACCUUGGAGAAAUUAUAAAAGAAACAAUAAGAAAUCUUAAAAGAGCUGAAAGAUAAUCCACAAUAAAUCUUAAAAGAAUCUUUAAGAAGUCCUAAAAAAUAUUAAAAUGAUCACAUUAUAUUAUAAAUAAACCUCAAUCAAGUUUUAAUUUAAUCCUAGUUGAAACGCUAAUGGACUUCAAUCAAACUGUAGACAAAUCUUAAAUCAUAAACCAAAGCUUAGGCAAAUCUUAAACUCUAAAUCAAAUCCUAGACAAAUCCUAAACCAAACUCUAGUAAAAUCCUAAAUCCUAAACCCUAAACAAAAUUCCAAUCAAAUCCUAAAUCCUAAACUUAAUCUUAACCAAAUUCUAAAUUC
rnacentral:lncRNA from 1 species